UACAGAGGUCUCAAGCGUUGUUCGGAUUCAUUGGGCGUAAAGGGCGCGUAGGCGGGUGCUCAAGUCCGGGGUGAAAUCCCACAGCUCAACUGUGGAACUGCCUCGGAUACUGGGUGUCUCGAGGGUGGUAGGGGUAUGCGGAACUAUCGGUGGAGCGGUGAAAUGCGUUGAUAUCGAUAGGAACUCCAGUGGCGAAGGCGACUACCUGGCCUGUUCUUGACGCUGAGGCGCGAAAGCGGGGGGAGCAAACGGG
rnacentral:rRNA from 1 species